GUGGGGAAUCUUGCGCAAUGGGCGAAAGCCUGACGCAGCCAUGCCGCGUGAAUGAUGAAGGUCUUAGGAUUGUAAAAUUCUUUCACCGGGGACGAUAAUGACGGUACCCGGAGAAGAAGCUCCGGCUAACUUCGUGCCAGCAGCCGCGGUAAUACGAAGGGGGCUAGCGUUGCUCGGAAUUACUGGGCGUAAAGGGCGCGUAGGCGGACAUCUUAGUCAGAGGUGAAAGCCCAGGGCUCAACCUUGGAAGUGCCUUUGAUACUGGCUGUCUUGAGUUUGGGAGAGGUGAGUGGAACUCCGAGUGUAGAGGUGAAAUUCGUAGAUAUUCGGAAGAACACCAGUGGCGAAGGCGACUCACUGGCCCAAUACUGACGCUGAGGCGCGAAAGCGUGGGGAGCAAACAGGAUUAGAUACCCCAGUAGUCC
rnacentral:rRNA from 1 species